GUUCUCAUUCUCGGAAGGGGAGCACCCCCUCCCACUGCCCACGGUGCCUCGUCUGCCGCCUGGGGCUGCCAGCACUGCCACUUGGGCACCAUGCCCACUGGCCUGGCCAGUCCUCGCUCAGGACAAUUCAAAUCGGCUGUAAUGGAGAGUUCGAAAUAUAGGUCAAGGGGCCUCCUGUCAAGGGUGCGGCAAUGGCUGUAGUUGCUGGAACAGCAGCUGCUCUGUCUGAGCCUCACUUCCUCUGGCUCCAGCUGCAGGUUCCUCCAGGCCAAGCGGGGAGUUUCCUGAACCUCGGGGCUUUGGCCCUGGCUAACAGGUCACCCUCACCCCCAGCUGCUCACCACCCUCUGCUGCUCAUUGCUGAUGUUGGUUUUUAAGAGAUAAAGGAAAUGGCAACAAAACACUGUUUUGGAUCUUCAGGACUGUUUUAUCCUCUAGGCCUAAAGACACAAAAUCUCAGGUAUACAGAAAUGUUUGGAACCUGAAACCUAAAAAAAAAAUUGUUGAUCCAAAAUGAAAAAUA